GAUAAAUAGUUUGUGUCAAAAUGAUAAGAUUAGCAAGUUACCAAAAAAUUCGGUGGGUUACGCCUCUAAUAUUUAAAAACAGGGAAUGGCAAAAGAGACAAUUUACAGUGGAAGGCCUCACGAUAAAUGACGGUGAAGUAGGGCUUCACUUCUCAAUGCCUUUGAGAGAACAGAGCGGGCGGAGUCGCCUCCAUUGCUGUUUCUGUUCCGUUGCAGGCAAAUAGAAACGUUUUUAUGAUCCUUUUUGCUAUGUGUAAGCAGACUUUAUGGCUUGCAGUUCGAAGAAAGGUCUUAAUACACUCUUCAAUCUUCAUCCUUCUUUUUUUAUUUUAAUUUUUUAUGCUUUUGAAAUAGUAAGGAAGGCCGAUCCAAAUGGGCUCUUGUUUGAAAUUGGUAAGAUAUGAGAGCUCAAUUUCACCCGGCCAAGAGUUGAUCUUUGGGGCGGCCUCAAGGUUUUACGUGUUCUCUAUCAUGUUUUAAUUCAGGGAGCUGCCCUAAAUUUUUUUUUUUUUUUUUAAUUUCCAUAGCCAAAACUCUUUGAAACUCAUUUGAUGGAGAUUCUAAAGGUUUGGUUGGAUUUUUUUGAUUGGAAAUUUCAUGUUGAUAUUGUGUUCGACAGCAAUUAAGAAUAGCAGAUUUGCAGCCAUUUGAAAUUGCAGAAAAGGGAAAAGGGACAUCUUAUUAGAUUUCAAAAUUUUUAUAUUCUUUUUCUUUAAAUGCAUAUUUUUCUUAUUUAAUAAUUGAAAAAAUAGUUUAUAUUUGCAAAAUUUGAAAAUAUAUAAUCAAUCAAAAAUAUUAUUAAAUUAAAUAUAGAAUAACAUGAGAUUUUCGACAAAACUAUGUAUUGAAUUUAUUCAAAGUUAAUUGUUUUAAGAAUAAAAAGUAGAAUUAAUAAAAAAAAGCUCUUUAUUUAUAUUAAAUAUAAAAUCAAAAUAAAAAUUUAAUAAUAAGUAAAAGGAAAAAAAUUGAGAAAUCAUUUUAAGGAAUUAUUAUGUGUGCAUGGUGCAGCCAUGAUUGAAGGGAGAUUAUAAGGUUGCUUGUUUGUUUUUCUAUUUUCUUUUUUUUCUAAUAUUUUUCUAUUUUCUAUUUACUAGAAGAUUUGAUUUUCAUUAAACUAUAGCAUGGAAAUUAAUAUAAACCGUGGCAUCGUCCAUGAUUCUGAAUUUCUGAUUUCCUUGCAUUUUUUAAUAAGUGUUAAAGCAAUCUCAUUUGAUUUAUAAAACAUUUGUCAUGAAAUUGGGUGAAGAUCUCCCAGCAAACAAUUUGGCCUGUAGUUCAUUGGUAGAAUAAUCUAAAAUUGAGCCAUGUUCUGGCUUAAGAGUUACAAUUGAGCGAGGAGCAUGAGGUGAAAAGAGAAGCGUUUUUGAGAUGCAUCGUUGCCCCAGAGUUGAGUUCUUGGUGUACAAUAAUCAGUGGCAAGGUAAUGCCAAAUCCCCAAGCCUUGUUUCUUCACUAACAGUUCGACCAAGUACAAACAAUGCUGGGUAGAGCCAUCAAAUUCUGGCUUUCUGCCGCCAAAAACCUGCAAAAACUCUUUAUCUAGCUCGUGCUUGCGAUUGUGGACACUUGUUAAGAUCACUGAACCAGUAACAUCUAGUAGUUGAAUAUCUGUUUCUCAUAGUGCAAGAGGUUAUUAAAAAUUUAAGUUUCUGUUUGGAUAACCGUUAAUAGCAGACUUCAACAGUUGAAUUAAACAUGUCCAUUCAAUGUAUAUACUUGCUUUGGUAUAUUUGUGGUUACCUCCAA